UGUAGGUUGUAUGUAGGUUGUCUUACCUGGUCUGGGCAGGUUGUCUGUAGGUUGUAUGUAGGUUGUCUUACCUGGUCUGGGCAGGUUGUAUGUAGGUUGUCUGUAGGUUGUCUUACCUAGUCUGGGCAGGUUGUAUGUAGGUUGUCUGUAGGUUGUAUGUAGGUUGUCUGUAGGUUGUAUGUAGGUUGUAUGUAGAUUGUCUGUAGGCUCUCUGUAGGCUGUCUUACCUGGUCUGGGCAGGUUGUAUGUAGGUUGUAUGUAGUGUGUAUGUAGGUUGUCUGUAGGUUGUAUGUAGGUUGUCUGUAGGUUGUAUGUAGGCUGUCUUACCUGGUCUGGGCAGGUUGUAUGUAGGUUGUCUGUAGGUUGUAUGUAGGCUGUCUUACCUGGUCUGGGCAGGUUGUAUGUAUGUUGUAUGUAGGUUGUCUGUAGGUUGUAUGUAGGCUGUCUUACCUGGUCUGGGCAGGUUGUAUGUAGGUUGUAUGUAGGUUGUAUGUAGGCUGUCUUACAUGGUCUGGGCAGGUUGUAUGUAGGUUGUCUGUAGACUGUAUGUAGGUUGUAUGUAGGUUGUAUGUAGGCUGUCUUACCUGGUCUGGGCAGGUUGUCUGUAGGUUGUAUGUAGGUUGUCUGUAGGCUGUCUGUAGGCUGUCUUACCUGGUCUGGGCAGGUUGUAUGUAGGUUGUCUGUAGGUUGUAUGUAGGUUGUCUGUAGGUUUUAUGUAGGUUGUAUGUAGGCUGUCUUACCUGGUCUGGGCAGGUUGUCUGUAGGUUGUAUGUAGGUUGUAUGUAGGUUGUCUGU